GUGGGAACGUGCCCUUCACUACGGAAUAGUCCCGGGAAACUGGGUUUAAUACCGUAUACGCCCUUCGGGGGAAAGAUUUAUCGGUGAAGGAUCGGCCCGCGUCUGAUUAGAUAGUUGGUGGGGUAACGGCCUACCAAGUCUACGAUCAGUAGCUGGUUUGAGAGGAUGAUCAGCAACACUGGGACUGAGACACGGCCCAGACUCCUACGGGAGGCAGCAGUGGGGAAUCUUAGACAAUGGGCGCAAGCCUGAUCUAGCCAUGCCGCGUGAGUGAUGAAGGCCUUAGGGUCGUAAAGCUCUUUCGCCAGGGAUGAUAAUGACAGUACCUGGUAAAGAAACCCCGGCUAACUCCGUGCCAGCAGCCGCGGUAAUACGGAGGGGGUUAGCGUUGUUCGGAAUUACUGGGCGUAAAGCGCGCGUAGGCGGAUUAGUCAGUCAGAGGUGAAAUCCCAGGGCUCAACCCUGGAACUGCCUUUGAUACUGCUAGUCUUGAGUUCGAGAGAGGUGAGUGGAAUUCCGAGUGUAGAGGUGAAAUUCGUAGAUAUUCGGAGGAACACCAGUGGCGAAGGCGGCUCACUGGCUCGAUACUGACGCUGAGGUGCGAAAGUGUGGGGAGCAAACAGGAUUAGAUACCCUGGUAGUCCACACC
rnacentral:rRNA from 1 species